UACAGAGGUCUCAAGCGUUGUUCGGAUUCAUUGGGCGUAAAGGGUGCGUAGGCGGCGCGGUAAGUCGGGUGUGAAAUCUUGGAGCUUAACUCCGAAACUGCAUUCGAUACUGCCGUGCUUGAGGACUGGAGAGGAGACUGGAAUUUACGGUGUAGCGGUGAAAUCGUAGAUAUUGGGAAGAACACCGGUGGCGAAGGCGGCUCUCUGGGACCG
rnacentral:rRNA from 1 species